rnacentral:rRNA from 1 species
UGCGUAACGCGUGGGAAUCUACCUGGUAAUGGGGGAUAGCCCGGAGAAAUCCGGAUUAAUACCGCAUACGCCCUACGGGGGAAAGGGGGCCUCUUCUUGAAAGCUCUCGUUAUCAGAUGAGCCUGCGUCGGAUUAGCUAGUUGGUGAGGUAAGGGCUCACCAAGGCGACGAUCCGUAGCUGGUCUGAGAGGAUGAUCAGCCACACUGGGACUGAGACACGGCCCAGACUCC